rfam:Mus musculus chromosome 1, GRC primary reference assembly.
GGGUCCAGAGGGCAAUUGACUGUGACAUCUCUCACCCCAUUGAUAGCCAGAGUUGAUUCAGCUGAUCUGGCUGGCAAGGAGGGUGUCCCUUUCCUCCCUUACUGUUCCAUGUGUGUCCCUCUGAAAGGUGUGUGCUCUAUCUUCCCUGAAUAGAGGAGGAUCCAUCUUUUGUCAAGGGUGUAUAAGUAGCUGUGCUUUCCUACUAGAACCUCCAAAUAAACUCUCCAUCUCAAAAAUUUUAACUCAGAAAUGUUCCUGUCCAAAGGAAAGACAGGGACAAAAAAUGGAGCAGAAACUGAAGGAAAUACCAUCCAGAGACUGC